AAAGAAUUUCGGUCAUUGAUGGGGAUGCGUUCCAUUAGGUUGUUGGCGGGGUAACGGCCCACCAAGCCAUCGAUGGAUAGGGGUUCUGAGAGGAAGGUCCCCCACAUUGGAACUGAGACACGGUCCAAACUCCUACGGGAGGCAGCAGUGAGGAAUAUUGGUCAAUGGACGAGAGUCUGAACCAGCCAAGUAGCGUGAAGGAUGACUGCCCUAUGGGUUGUAAACUUCUUUUAUACGGGAAUUAAAGUUAGGCACGUGUGCCUUUUUGUAUGUACCGUAUGAAUAAGGAUCGGCUAACUCCGUGCCAGCAGCCGCGGUAAUACGGAGGAUCCGAGCGUUAUCCGGAUUUAUUGGGUUUAAAGGGAGCGUAGGCGGAUGCUUAAGUCAGUUGUGAAAGUUUGCGGCUCAACCGUAAAAUUGCAGUUGAUACUGGGUGUCUUGAGUACAGUAGAGGCAGGCGGAAUUCGUGGUGUAGCGGUGAAAUGCUUAGAUAUCACGAAGAACUCCGAUUGCGAAGGCAGCUUGCUGGACUGUAACUGACGCUGAUGCUCGAAAGUGUGGGUAUCAAACAGGAUUAGAUACCCUGGUAGUCCACACAGUAAACGAUGUAAUACUCGCUGUUUGCGAUAUACAGUAAGCGGCCAAGCGUAAAGUCGUUAAGUAUUCCACCUGGGGAGUA
rnacentral:rRNA from 1 species